rnacentral:lncRNA from 1 species
GACAGAUUAGACUUCACUUCAGAGCCGCAGACAGAAGCUAAAACUACAGCAAUGGGAUGUGUUGUGAACAAGUAACUAUUAAAGAGUUACAAUUCCAAGUGAAACAUCUUUUGAGCCUUGUUUCCAGUGGACUUUCGCCUUGCUGUGGUGUUCACACCUUGCACACUCAGACUAUAUUAAAAUGGUAAACUGGCAACGCAUUUUCGAAGCACUCUACCUGAAACUGAAUAGGAGGCCCUCAAGUGCUUUCCAGAAGAGGCCGUUGAUUGAGACUAAGGGGAAAAAGCUGAAUAGUCAAAGAGGGCAGACAGGCAAAGGAAAGCACUAGCAGUACUGAGCACAUUGUACCAACGGCUUGAUCACUGCCCAUGUGAGCAGAUUUCAAGAGACAAAGGAAAAAUAGAUGGAACGUGACCAGAAAUGUUACAGCUCUUUGCCUCAGUGCUUCGUGAAACAUACUGUAAGAAGAAACGUCCCUCAGGCUGAGCUAAAAGAUUGGAUGUGUUCGGAAAGACGUUACAGCUUCUCAGUUGAACAGUGUCAAGUGGAGCAUGUGAGGAAACGCUGUAUCUAUUGUAUGCCAUGGUUUGACAAGUACUGUAUAUCAGCCCACAUGCAGCAUCCGGCACCAUAUCAGCGAACAGCAUUGUGA